ensembl:snRNA U5 U5 spliceosomal RNA
AUCCUCUGGUGUCUCUUCAGAACAAAUAAAUCUUUUGCCUUUUACUAAAGAUUUCCUUGAAGAGGAACCAUUGUGAAUUGAUAACCAAUUUUUUGUUUGUUUGUUUGAGACAGAGUC